rnacentral:rRNA from 1 species
AUGCACGCUGGCGGCGUGCCUAAUCCAUGCAAGUCGCGCGAACAGACGAGGAGCUUGCUCCUCUGACGUUAGCGGCGGACGGGUGAGUAACACGUGGAUAACCUACCUAUAAGACUGGGAUAACUUCGGGAAACCGGAGCUAAUACCGGAUAAUAUAUUGAACCGCCUGGUUCAAUAGUGAAAGACGGUUUUGCUGUCACUUAUAGAUUGAUCCGCGCCGCAUUAGCUAGUUGGUAAGGUAACGGCUUACCAAGGCGACGAUGCGUAGCCGACCUGAGAGGGUGAUCGGCCACACUGGAACUGAGACACGGUCCAGACUCCUACGGGAGGCAGCAGUAGGGAAUCUUCCGCAAUGGGCGAAAGCAUGACGGAGCAACGCCGCGUGAGUGAUGAAGGUCUUCGGAUCGUAAAACUCUGUUAUUAGGGAAGAACAAAUGUGUAAGUAACUAUGCACGUCUUGACGGUACCUAAUCAGAAAGCCACGGCUAACUACGUG